rnacentral:lncRNA from 1 species
GGGACGGGCCCUUCCAAGGAUGAGGACCCUUCAGAGAAGCUGGGAGGAGGUGAGGGGGUGGGGGAGGCCCAGAGGAAGAUGGGGGGUGGCGCUGGGCUGUGGAGCAGAGGCAUCCAGCCUGGUGGCCUGUGGCUUAUGGCUGCAGGACCGGAUCACCACACACUCAGUGGCCCAGAACGGCCCCCAUUUAGUUCAUGUUGUUUAAAUGUCCCGCACAGUCUCGCAAGGCUACAGUCGGGGUGCUGGACGGCUGCGGGCCUCUCAGGGGCCAUGAGGGCGCCCGAGUCCCUGCCUUCCCCAUGGUGGGACCGCCCCGUCCUUUGCACACAGCCCCCACCUCUGGCCUCUUCCAGGUCAAGCUCCUGCGACGACCUGGGGCCGCCCAGGUGUGCCAGGUAAGCCCCCUGAUGUAAGAUCAUCAGACCAACACCCUCAGUCCCUUUGGCUGUCUUAAAUCCUCUUCGCUGUGGCACCUAACGUCUUCACGGGCCCCAGAAGCUAGAAUUCGGGGAGUUGUCAGUGAGGGGGGGGUGCUUCCACUUAUGACAGCAGAGAAAGGCUGCCAAGAGGUCGAGUGAUAUAAACUCAGCGAUGUUCCAUGAAGUGAAGAAGCCAAGAGACGCAUGGAGAACAGAACUGAUGGAGGGAGGGGCCCGCGAGUAAGGGCUGAAGGCAGAGGAGGGUGACCAAGCGGAAAGGGCCACCUGGGAGCCCUCGGGUGGCUCCCCCCUGAGAUGCGGUCGGGUGUCCAGUGUGAGGUGGGCGCGCGCUGGUCCACGUUUAGACGCUUGGUCCACCUCUGGGACCUCGGCUGCAUGCACAGGCCCAUGAGAUGCUGGCUUCAUCCACAGGCCUGGGGCGAGCGGUGGCGGCAUAGCGGUGAUGACAGCUGCCUUCCACAGGCCUGGGGCUUUAGCAGCAAACCCGAGCCGGGAGAGAAAGCGCUUUGUAAGGUGCAAAGUUCCAGGUAGCUAUGAGCCGUUAUUUCUGGCGGGACCACCCGGCUUCCUCCUUUCCUGCUCCGGGGCCUGGGCUUCCUGACCCUCUGGCUGAUCCUCAGCGGAAGCAGUUUACAGACAAGUGUUCUCUACGCAGCACCUCUGUCGCAGCUGCUCUCAAAUACGCUUUCCUAGGAGAGGGGCAGGGAUCCAGGAAUCCAUGUGUCCUUUCUCUUCCCAGUAUCUGGAAGCCCCGUCCUAAAUUAAUUUCUUACUUCUUCAUCUCAUGGAAACCGCUGUAGCCUCCACCAUGGAAAACUCCACCCGUAGCAUCUUCUGAAGGGGAUGCUGGAAUUGUUCAGAGACUCACUGGCUCAGAGCCACGUAGCGUCCUGAUCCCUCGAUGAGGUUGCUUUGAAGCCCCACAGUUAUUUCUGCAUCCUUUCCCUGCUUUUAAUGGCGCCACCAAAAUCAUCAGGUUUCUUUCUUCAGUUCUGGGUUGUCAUGAUGGGAAAUCCUGUUUUUUUCAUUUUUAAAGUUUUCUUGAAGUAUAGUGGAUAUACUAUGUUGUGCUAACGUCUGCUCUACAACACACAGUUAUCCUGGUACACACGUCCGUUCUCUCUCCGAUUCUUUUCCCACAUAGAUAAUCACAGAACACUGGGUAGCGUUCUCUGUGCUGGCCAAUCACUCCAUAGACCUCAGUGUGCACAUGCCAAUCCCAAACCCCCGGUCCCUUCCUCCCCACCCCCCAAUUGUCCCCUUUGGUAAUCAUACAUUUUUCAAAGUUUGUUUCUGUUCUGCAAAUAAGUUCAUUUGUACGUUUUUUUUUUUAUCACGUAUAAGUGAUAUUAUAUGAUGUUUGCCUUUUGCUGUCUAACUUCGCUUAGGUCCAUCCAUGCUGCUGCAAAUGACAUUAUUUCAUUCCUUUUUAUGGCUGAAUGAUAUUCCCGUAUGUAUAUGUACCAUGUCUUCUUAAUCCGCUCUUCUGUCAAUGAAGAAUUUAGGUUUUUUUUAUGUCUUGGCUAUUGUGAAUUGUGCUGCAGUGAACAGUGGGGUGCAUGUAUCUUUUCAAAUUAUGGUUUUCUACAGAUGGAUGUCUAGGAGUGGGCUUGCUGGGUCGUAAAGUCGUUCUGUGUUUAGUUUUCUGAGACACCUGCAUACUGUUCUCCAUGGCGGCUGCACCAAUGUACCUUCUCACCAACAGUGUAAUUGUUAUUACUUAGGCUGAUGUGAGGCUUUCUUGCUCCCUGCCUUCCCUUUCUUGGGGGAAAGAGAGGGCUGAGUGCAGCUUCCGGCAUUCC